GUACUUGUUUCAGUAGCACAUAUACUAAAAUUGGAAUGAUAGAUUAGCAUGGCCCCUGAGCAAGGAUGACACAGAAAAAGUCAUUGAAGAUUUCCACAAAAUA
ensembl:snRNA U6 U6 spliceosomal RNA